rnacentral:rRNA from 1 species
AACGUAGGUACCGAGCGUUAUCCGGAUUUACUGGGCGUAAAGCGUGUGCAGGCGGUCGUGCAAGUCGGGCAUGAAGCCCCUGGCUCAACUGGGGAAGCUGUCUGAUACUGCAUGACUUGAGGCUCGAGAGGGCGAUGGAAUUCCGCAUGUAGUGGUGAAAUGCGUAGAGAUGCGGAGGAACACCAGUGGCGAAAGCGGUCGCCUGGCGAGCCCUGACGCUCAGACACGAAAGCUAGGGGAGCGAACGG